rfam:Felis catus isolate Cinnamon breed Abyssinian chromosome B4, whole genome shotgun sequence.
GCCUUGGUGGCUCAGUGGGUUGGGCAUCUGAAUUCGGCUCAGGUCAUGAUCUCACAGUUUGUGGGUUUGAGCCCCGCAUGGGGCU